AAGUCGUAACAAGGUUUCCGUAGGUGAACCUGCGGAAGGAUCAUUACUGAGAGAGGGGCCUCGCGCUCCCGGGGGCUCCGGCCCCCAACUCUUCACCCGUGUGUACCUAACUAUGUUGCUUUGACGGGCCUCGAGAGACCUCUUUCGCGCCGGCGCCUCGGCCCGGCGAGCGCCCGUCAGAUGCCCACUAAAUACUGCUUAUCAGUGUUGUCCGAGUACCAUAAACAAUAUAAUAAAAACUUUCAACAACGGAUCUCUUGGUUCCA
rnacentral:misc_RNA from 1 species